rnacentral:rRNA from 1 species
GACGAACGCUGGCGGCGUGCUUAACACAUGCAAGUCGAACGAUGAAGCCCAGCUUGCUGGGUGGAUUAGUGGCGAACGGGUGAGUAAUACGUGAGUAACCUGCCUUUAACUCUGGGAUAAGCCUUGGAAACGGGGUCUAAUACCGGCUACGACCAACCCUCGCAUGGGGGGUUGGUGGAAAGGGAUUUUGUACUGGUUUUAGAUGGGCUCACGGCCUAUCAGCUUGUUGGUGAGGUAACGGCUCACCAAGGCGACGACGGGUAGCCGGCCUGAGAGGGUGACCGGCCACACUGGGACUGAGACACGGCCCAGACUCCUACGGGAGGCAGCAGUGGGGAAUAUUGCACAAUGGGCGCAAGCCUGAUGCAGCGACGCCGCGUGAGGGAUGACGACCUUCGGGUUGUAAACCUCUUUCAGCAGGGGAGAAGCGAAAGUGACGGUACCUGCAGAAGAAGCGCCGGCUAACUACGUG